UCUUAGUUACGUCGAAACACCGGUUUCCGUACGAUCACUGAAGUUAAGCAACAUCGAACGUGGUCAGUACCUAAAUGGGUGACCGUUUGAGAAUACCAG